GGGUUGUGAGGUUAAGCGACUAAGCGUACACGGUGGAUGCCCUGGCAGUCAGAGGCGAUGAAGGGCGUGCUAAUCUGCGAUAAGCGCCGGUAAGGUGAUAUGAACCGUUAUAACCGGCGAUACCCGAAUGGGGAAACCCAGUGUGAUUCGUCACACUAUCAUUAACUGAAUCCAUAGGUUAAUGAGGCGAACCGGGGGAACUGAAACAUCUAAGUACCCCGAGGAAAAGAAAUCAACCGAGAUUCCCCCAGUAGCGGCGAGCGAACGGGGAGGAGCCCAGAGCCUGAAUCAGCAUGUGUGUUAGUGGAAGCGUCUGGAAAGGCGCGCGAUACAGGGUGACAGCCCCGUACACAAAAGCGCAUGUGCUGUGAGCUCGAUGAGUAGGGCGGGACACGUGGUAUCCUGUCUGAAUAUGGGGGGACCAUCCUCCAAGGCUAAAUACUCCUGACUGACCGAUAGUGAACCAGUACCGUGAGGGAAAGGCGAAAAGAACCCCGGCGAGGGGAGUGAAAAAGAACCUGAAACCGUGUACGUACAAGCAGUGGGAGCCCCACCACUAAGCCAGUGGUGAACUCCACAUACGCAUCCUUUGCUGAGGAUACGGUUAACGGAGCGAAAGCGACGUUCAACCGCAAAAGAAGCAGAGGGGGCUUAGUGGUGGGGUGACUGCGUACCUUUUGUAUAAUGGGUCAGCGACUUAUAUUCUGUAGCAAGGUUAACCGAAUAGGGGAGCCGGAGGGAAACCGAGUCUUAAUUGGGCGUUAAGUUGCAGGGUAUAGACCCGAAACCCGGUGAUCUAGCCAUGGGCAGGUUGAAGGUUGGGUAACACUAACUGGAGGACCGAACCGACUAAUGUUGAAAAAUUAGCGGAUGACCUGUGGCUGGGGGUGAAAGGCCAAUCAAACCGGGAGAUAGCUGGUUCUCCCCGAAAGCUAUUUAGGUAGCGCCUCGUGAAUUCAUCUCCGGGGGUAGAGCACUGUUUCGGCUAGGGGGCCAUCCCGGCUUACCAACCCGAUGCAAACUGCGAAUACCGGAGAAUGUUAUCACGGGAGACACACGGCGGGUGCUAACGUCCGUCGUGAAGAGGGAAACAACCCAGACCGCCAGCUAAGGUCCCAAAGUCAUGGUUAAGUGGGAAACGAUGUGGGAAGGCCCAGACAGCCAGGAUGUUGGCUUAGAAGCAGCCAUCAUUUAAAGAAAGCGUAAUAGCUCACUGGUCGAGUCGGCCUGCGCGGAAGAUGUAACGGGGCUAAACCAUGCACCGAAGCUGCGGCAGCGAACGUAUCACUUAAAGCGAUUCAGCGGGUUACGAUUGACGGAGCGAAGCGACGUCAAAGCGUAUACAAAGUCGAGUCGGUUUAAGGAUACGUUCGUUGGGUAGGGGAGCGUUCUGUAAGCCUGUGAAGGUGGCCUGUGAGGGUUGCUGGAGGUAUCAGAAGUGCGAAUGCUGACAUAAGUAACGAUAAAGCGGGUGAAAAGCCCGCUCGCCGGAAGACCAAGGGUUCCUGUCCAACGUUAAUCGGGGCAGGGUGAGUCGACCCCUAAGGCGAGGCCGAAAGGCGUAGUCGAUGGGAAACGGGUUAAUAUUCCCGUACUUGGUGUUACUGCGAAGGGGGGACGGAGAAGGCUAUGUUGGCCGGGCGACGGUUGUCCCGGUUUAAGCGUGUAGGUGUGUGUUCCAGGUAAAUCCGGUUCACUUUAACACUGAGGCGUGACGACGAGGCACUACGGUGCUGAAGCAACAAAUGCCCUGCUUCCAGGAAAAGCCUCUAAGCAUCAGGUAACAUCAAAUCGUACCCCAAACCGACACAGGUGGUCAGGUAGAGAAUACCAAGGCGCUUGAGAGAACUCGGGUGAAGGAACUAGGCAAAAUGGUGCCGUAACUUCGGGAGAAGGCACGCUGACACGUAGGUGAAGUGAUUUACUCACGGAGCUGAAGUCAGUCGAAGAUACCAGCUGGCUGCAACUGUUUAUUAAAAACACAGCACUGUGCAAACACGAAAGUGGACGUAUACGGUGUGACGCCUGCCCGGUGCCGGAAGGUUAAUUGAUGGGGUCAGCGCAAGCGAAGCUCCUGAUCGAAGCCCCGGUAAACGGCGGCCGUAACUAUAACGGUCCUAAGGUAGCGAAAUUCCUUGUCGGGUAAGUUCCGACCUGCACGAAUGGCGUAAUGAUGGCCAGGCUGUCUCCACCCGAGACUCAGUGAAAUUGAACUCGCUGUGAAGAUGCAGUGUACCCGCGGCAAGACGGAAAGACCCCGUGAACCUUUACUAUAGCUUGACACUGAACAUUGAGCCUUGAUGUGUAGGAUAGGUGGGAGGCUUUGAAGCGUGGACGCCAGUCUGCGUGGAGCCGGCCUUGAAAUACCACCCUUUAAUGUUUGAUGUUCUAACGUGGACCCGUUACCCGGGUUGCGGACAGUGUCUGGUGGGUAGUUUGACUGGGGCGGUCUCCUCCUAAAGAGUAACGGAGGAGCACGAAGGUUGGCUAAUCCUGGUCGGACAUCAGGAGGUUAGUGCAAUGGCAUAAGCCAGCUUGACUGCGAGCGUGACGGCGCGAGCAGGUGCGAAAGCAGGUCAUAGUGAUCCGGUGGUUCUGAAUGGAAGGGCCAUCGCUCAACGGAUAAAAGGUACUCCGGGGAUAACAGGCUGAUACCGCCCAAGAGUUCAUAUCGACGGCGGUGUUUGGCACCUCGAUGUCGGCUCAUCACAUCCUGGGGCUGAAGUAGGUCCCAAGGGUAUGGCUGUUCGCCAUUUAAAGUGGUACGCGAGCUGGGUUUAGAACGUCGUGAGACAGUUCGGUCCCUAUCUGCCGUGGGCGCUGGAGAACUGAGGGGGGCUGCUCCUAGUACGAGAGGACCGGAGUGGACGCAUCACUGGUGUUCGGGUUGUCAUGCCAAUGGCACUGCCCGGUAGCUAAAUGCGGAAGAGAUAAGUGCUGAAAGCAUCUAAGCACGAAACUUGCCCCGAGAUGAGUUCUCCCUGAGACUUAGAGUCUCCUGAAGGAACGUUGAAGACGACGACGUUGAUAGGCCGGGUGUGUAAGCGCAGCGAUGCGUUGAGCUAACCGGUACUAAUGAACCGUGAGGCUUAACCUUACAACGCCGAAGCUGUU
rnacentral:rRNA from 1 species